UACGUAGGGACCGAGCGUUGUCCGGAAUCAUUGGGCGUAAGGAGCGUGUAGGCGGCCAAUUAAGUCCUGCGUGAAAUCUCGGGGCUCAACCCCGAGCGGUCGUGGGAAACUGGUUGGCUAGAGUACGGUAGAGGGAGGUAGAAUUUCCUGUGUAGCGGUGAAAUGCGUAGAUAUAGGAAGGAAUACCAGUGGCGAAGGCGGCCUCCUGGAUCGAUACUGACGCUGAGGCGCGAAAGCGUGGGGAGCAAACAGG
rnacentral:rRNA from 1 species